rnacentral:lncRNA from 1 species
UUAUAAAAAAAGUUGAAGCAGGAAUUGCUGCAGAUCCCGAUUCAGCCAGAAAAAGAAAUGAAUGGUUUUGUAUUACUGAUAGAGUGCGAAAAUUCAUCGGGGUAAGUUCCAAAUUAUACAGAUAUGUGAAGAUUUCGAUUGUUUUAUAUUUUUGAAAUUUUUUUAAAAGGCUUCAUCUUAAAACAGAAAAUAAUGAAGGAGUUUAGAGAAAAGGUGAAAAAAGAAGAAAAAGAGAAGGAAGCACGCCAAGCUGCACAGACGGAACAAUUAGCUGCAAAGGGGAUUCAUAUUGCGGCGAAGGCUGAGUCAGCAAUUCCUCUUUCUUUCAGGAGACCGGGUGAAGAAGGCGUCCACCCUUUUGAAUCUUCUCAAAUGGUACU